rnacentral:rRNA from 1 species
AUGCCGCCCCAAUCUCCCCGCUCCGCCGCCGCCGCCUCCCACCUUCCACUAUCACCCGCUCAGCCACCUCCACCCUCCUCUACAUCGCCGGAGGAACGGGCACACCUGGCGCGCCGCCUCGAGGCGGCGCUCGAGCAGGUGAGGAGGGAGUCGGUGCGGCAGGGCGCGGCGUUGGACGAGCUGAGGCGGCGGCUCGAGCGGCGGCGGGCGCGCGCGUACGACACACCCUCCUCUCGAUCCAGAUGCGACCUCUCUCCCACUCCGCCGCCGCCCCUACUGCUCCGCCGCCGCCCCCUCGAUCUGUUUCCUACAUCGAUUGUCAAGAAUGCCCCAGCCGCCAUAGCCUCCGCCGCCGAUGUCUGGCUGAGACGCGCCAAGGAGAUCUCGCGACUCCGCCAUGUUGGUGAGUACCCCACUUGA